UUGAACGCUGGCGGCAUGCUUUACCCAUGCAAGUCGAACGGCAGCGCGGGCUUCGGCCUGGCGGCGAGUGGCGAGCGGGUGAGUAAUGCAUCGGAACGUGCCCAGUAGUGGGGGAUAGCCCGGCGAAAGCCGGAUUAAUACCGCAUACGACCUGAGGGUGAAAGCGGGGGACCGAAAGGCCUCGCGCUAUUGGAGCGGCCGAUGUCGGAUUAGCUAGUUGGUGGGGUAAAGGCUUACCAAGGCGACGAUCCGUAGCUGGUCUGAGAGGACGACCAGCCACACUGGGACUGAGACACGGCCCAGACUCCUACGGGAGGCAGCAGUGGGGAAUUUUGGACAAUGGGGGCAACCCUGAUCCAGCCAUGCCGCGUGCGGGAAGAAGGCCUUCGGGUUGUAAACCGCUUUUGUUCGGGAAGAAAUCCUCUGGGCUAAUACCCCGGGGGGAUGACGGUACCGGAAGAAUAAGCACCGGCUAACUACGUG
rnacentral:rRNA from 1 species